ACCCUGCUGCGCUCGGAAACUUUGAUUCCUUGUCCCCCUCCCCACCUGUUGUGAGCUCCGCCUUAGUCCCUGGAGACUGGCGGUGACACACACGGGCGCCAGGGAGCUCCGCGCCCAGAAACAAAGUCUCAUGCCCCCCCACCCCAGUGUUUGCUUGGAAAUUGCUGCCUGCAGCACCCCCAUUCCCGCGCAGCUCCCGCCCCCUGGGAGUCUAAGGACUAAAUAAACAGUUGUAACUCCAAACCUUGCGCCUGCCACCGCAGCCCUAUCCCACCCCUUUCCCCCGGUCCUGCCCCUCCUUUUUUGUUGUUGCAACUUUGUAAGAUCCCGGGAAGGUGCUGAGACUAAGGCUCAAGCCGGGCUCCGGGUUUCCCGAUCCCUGCAGGGAUCCCCCGCGGCGCAUCCUCCUACCCUGUCCCCCCCGGAGCUCGGGGUCCUCUCCUUCCUGCUGCCCCCCUAUCUACUCCGGCCCCCUCCGCCUAAUCACCUCGUCCCCUUCGAGCCCCUCACUACACAACCUUCACGGAAGGAAGACUUGCUGAGGGUCGCCCCGGUCUCUUGUCGAUCGCAGACCCCGAAACUUUGCCCCAAGAGGACGGCGCGCGGCGGGCGAGGGGCAGCGGCGGCGGCGGCGGCGGCGCGGAGAAGCGUGGAGCUGCCGGCGCCUCCUCCCCGGACUCCGUGGCGUCCCAGGAGCUUCUGCUGACGAUCCCGGUUUCCGAGGGAACCCUUUCGGCAAUGUUGAGGGCUGCGCUCCUUUCUCUGCCGUGCGGUCAGCCAUGAGCGGAUGGGUGUGAUGCCUGCUAGCAUAAAGGGU
rnacentral:lncRNA from 1 species